rnacentral:tRNA from 1 species
GGUUAUGGCUCAAUGGUAGAGCACUUGCUUUGCAGGUGUGAGGCACUGGGUUCAAUCCUCAGCACCA